rnacentral:rRNA from 1 species
CCCUUAGACGUUCUGGGCCGCACGCGCGCUACACUGACCAGUGCAACAAGCAUCCGUCCUUGGCCGACAGGCCCGGGCAAUCUUUGAACGCUGGUCGUGAUGGGGAUAGACUUUUGCAAUUUUUGGUCUUCAACGAGGAAUUCCUGGUAAACGCAAGUCAUCAACUUGCAUUGAUUACGUCCCUGCCCUUUGUACACACCGCCCGUCGCACCUACCGAUUGAAUGGUCCGGUGAAGCCUCCGGAUUGGCGCGCACCUCGGUGCCGCCGAGAAGUUGGCUAAACCUUACCAUUUAGAGGAAGGUGAAGUCGUANCA